GGAAAUCCAUGGUGACUACAAGUCUACUAGUUCUAAUAUUGUAAUCAUAUUAGAAGGGGCCAUGGCUUCGCUUUCCACAAAGAUCCUACCUUUCUCCAUUCUUGAUGUCCCCAAAGCCCUAGUUUUCUCUGUUUCGAUCCUUCUCGCAUUUCUUUUAAUCUCAGGUUUCGCUGUAAGAAUGUUUGGAGGUGGGCAGUAGAGAAGAUGAACUGUUUGCACAGAUUCUGAGGGACGAGGCAGUGUCUAGAAUCGAUCCACUAGGCAAGGGUGGACCGAGUGGGCAACCUACAUGAUGAGGCAGUUAAUGCAACUGCAGAGACGUUAUUAAUUGGAUCUCUUUUGAGGACAGGGUUGUCGAUGCUGGAAAGUAUGAUAUGUCAUUGGAUAUAGUAUGUGCAAUCUCUGCUUCGGAAGCUUUUGAGGAUCAAAAGGAAGUUGGAGAAACUAUGUAGGUCGAAGUAAGUUGUUCCCAAGGCAUGCCGGCACCGUUCCAAUGUUAAUGUGCCAAGGUCCCAUGGCUGCUUCUGCUGAACUUAUGUUAACUUUGGAGUCUUUUUGUAAAUAUUGUGACAAGAUCGAAAGGAAUCUUUUGCUGGAUUGAUCUGCACGGUUGGAGAGAUAUCCUGCUGGUCAUGUGUAAAUUUUAAUGUGGAUGGAAGAGCAAUCGAUGAUGAGGCAAGAGAAGCAUGAAUUUUCUAACCAGGUUUCUCGAAAAUCAAAAUGCAGAGGCAGCCAACUGUGACUCAGAAUUAAGUCUGCAGCUUAAAUAUGAAGCAUGUUCGGCUCUGACGAAGAUGUCAGGUGGCAUUGCCUAAUGAACUGAGCAGGACAUGAUGCUCUGGUGAUGUCUCAUUUAACCAAGGUCAGGUACCUCAUUGCACAUAAUUGAAAAAAUUAGUGGUGUUGUUGAAGCAGAUUGGCAUGUUGUUUGUACGCCGCCAAGGAGGUAUUUAGCCAUUCUCCUGUGGAAUCUGGAUUUGAUGAUGAUGUUUGGGCUGUGCUGGUCUCGCACUCCCGUUUCUGAUCAACAUAUAAAUCAGUAACAUGCAUGUCUGAAUUAUGCAACUGGCUUGAGUAUAGUGUUGAUAUAAUUAUGUU